AAAAUGCAAGUCGAACGGCAGCACGGGAGCAAUCCUGGUGGCGAGUGGCGAACGGGUGAGUAAUACAUCGGAACGUGCCCUGUCGUGGGGGAUAACUAGUCGAAAGAUUAGCUAAUACCGCAUACGACCUGAGGGUGAAAGCGGGGGACCGUAAGGCCUCGCGCGAUAGGAGCGGCCGAUGUCUGAUUAGCUAGUUGGUGGGGUAAAGGCCCACCAAGGCGACGAUCAGUAGCUGGUCUGAGAGGACGAUCAGCCACACUGGGACUGAGACACGGCCCAGACUCCUACGGGAGGCAGCAGUGGGGAAUUUUGGACAAUGGGGGCAACCCUGAUCCAGCAAUGCCGCGUGUGUGAAGAAGGCCUUCGGGUUGUAAAGCACUUUUGUCCGGAAAGAAAUCCCUUGCCCUAAUACGGCGGGGGGAUGACGGUACCGGAAGAAUAAGCACCGGCUAACUACGUGCCAGCAGCCGCGGUAAUACGUAGGGUGCGAGCGUUAAUCGGAAUUACUGGGCGUAAAGCGUGCGCAGGCGGUUUUGUAAGACAGGCGUGAAAUCCCCGAGCUCAACUUGGGAAUGGCGCUUGUGACUGCAAGGCUAGAGUAUGUCAGAGGGGGGUAGAAUUCCACGUGUAGCAGUGAAAUGCGUAAAGAUGUGGAGGAAUACCGAUGGCGAAGGCAGCCCCCUGGGA
rnacentral:rRNA from 1 species